UACGUAGGUGGCGAGCGUUGUCCGGAUUUACUGGGCGUAAAGGGUGCGUAGGCGGAUGUUUAAGUGAGAUGUGAAAUACCCGGGCUUAACUUGGGUGCUGCAUUUCAAACGGGAUAUCUAGAGUGCAGGAGAGGUGAAUGGAAUUCCUAGUGUAGCGGUGAAAUGCGUAGAGAUUAGGAAGAACACCAGUGGCGAAGGCGAUUCUCUGGACUGUAACUGACGCUGAGGCACGAAAGCGUGGGUAGCAAACAGGAUUAGAUACCCUGGUAGUCCACGCCGUAAACGAUGAGUACUAGGUGUAGGGGGUAUCGACCCCCCCUGUGCCGCAGUAAACACAAUAAGUACUCCGCCUGGGCAGUACGAUCGCAAGAUUAAA
rnacentral:rRNA from 1 species